AGUGAACGCUGGCGGUAGGCCUAACACAUGCAAGUCGAGCGGCAGCACAGUAAGAGCUUGCUCUUACGGGUGGCGAGUGGCGGACGGGUGAGGAAUACAUCGGAAUCUACUUUUUCGUGGGGGAUAACGUAGGGAAACUUACGCUAAUACCGCAUACGACCUACGGGUGAAAGCAGGGGAUCUUCGGACCUUGCGCGAUUGAAUGAGCCGAUGUCGGAUUAGCUAGUUGGCGGGGUAAAGGCCCACCAAGGCGACGAUCCGUAGCUGGUCUGAGAGGAUGAUCAGCCACACUGGAACUGAGACACGGUCCAGACUCCUACGGGAGGCAGCAGUGGGGAAUAUUGGACAAUGGGCGCAAGCCUGAUCCAGCCACACCGCGUGGGUGAAGAAGGCCUUCGGGUUGUAAAGCCCUUUUGUUGGGAAAGAAAAGCAGCAGGUUAAUACCCCGCUGUUCUGACGGUACCCAAAGAAUAAGCACCGGCUAACUUCGUG
rnacentral:rRNA from 1 species